rfam:Oryza rufipogon genomic scaffold, chr02
UCUAAUUUCCGUGUCCAACGUUUGACCGUCCGUUCUAUUUAAAAAAAUUAAAAAAAAAGACAAGUCACGCACAAAGUAUUAAUCAUGUUUUAUCAUCUAAUAAUAAUAAUACGAAUUAUAAAAAAAUUUCAUAUAAGACGGACAAUAAAAAUUGUACACGAAAACUCAGGGUAUGUCUUUUU